UACGGAGGGGGCUAGCGUUGUUCGGAAUUACUGGGCGUAAAGCGCACGUAGGCGGUUUUGUAAGUUAGAGGUGAAAGCCCAGGGCUCAACCCUGGAAUUGCCUUUAAGACUGCAUCGCUUGAACAUCGGAGAGGUAAGUGGAAUUCCGAGUGUAGAGGUGAAAUUCGUAGAUAUUCGGAAGAACACCAGUGGCGAAGGCGACUUACUGGACGAUUGUUGACGCUGAGGUGCGAAAGCGUGGGGAGCAAACAGG
rnacentral:rRNA from 1 species